rnacentral:lncRNA from 1 species
AACAACAAGCAAAAAUAAAUUAACUAAACCAUCAAUCAAACCACUUUUAGAUAUAAACCAAAUAACCAUUAAACCAAUAAUUCUACAAGUAAUACAAAUACCAUCAUUCUUAACAUGCUUCUAAUCCAACUUCCAAAAGAAAAAAAAACAUUAAAAAAACACCAAUUCGAUCAUAGAUCAACCUCCUCUUCAUGCCACAAUUCCACGAUUACGCUUUCUUUGCCUGCACUACAACAUAAAGAUAUGCGUGAGUAUUAUCACAAAUAGUAAGUAAGAUGACCCCCAUAUACUACCUAUACACACAAGCGAAUUACACAAACCAACACUCAAUCAAACAACAAAAACAUCAGACCAUACAUAACAAGAACAAAACAACUCCUAAUCCAGCCUAGUGUCGACCUCCACAUCAACACAUCUGAUGUCGACCGAUACCCUCUUGGUGUCUAUCUACACUGCCUCUUAAGAUACAGUAGAAUCGCCUCUUAUCAAUCCUGAAGAAUCCUUGCACCAUACACGACCAUGAACAAACCCUAACCACCAAAUCAUCACGUGAUCUUUUCUUGGGGGUUUUCCUCAUUCGCACAGUUCCAUCAAUCAAUUCCUAGAAGUCACCCAUCCUAAUCCUACUCUAUCUCAAGAACACUUAGCUGUCAAGUUCUUUUAGGAUCUUUGGCCAAAAAAAUAAGUGUACUUUCAUGACAUAGUUAGAAAAAUCAAAUCUUUUAAACCUCUCCGCAUGUUUGCUGAAGCCAGGGAGGCUUACACUUUAGAGGAGUCUAGGAGCUUUGUUUCAGGAUAUGAAGGGGAUCAUUACAUAGUAAAUACAUCAAUGUCAAGUCUUGACAUGAAAGGAGUCCUAUGUCGAAGAAAGUUACNNNNNNNNNNNNNNNNNNNNNNNNNNNNNNNNNNNNNNNNNNNNNNNNNNNNNNNNNNNNNNNNNNNNNNNNNNNNNNNNNNNNNNNNNNNNNNNNNNNNCCUAGUCCUUUUACAUAAAAUUUUGAAUUAAUUUAUUUUGAUAUGAAUGUUAAGUUUAUCAUAUAUUGUUCAACGUUCAAACAAUUUCUUUUUCUUUUUUUGGUAUGAGUGUUAUGUUUUUUAUAUCUUGUGUUAAAUCUUGACUUCCAAAAUUUCAAAAUUGCAAAAAAUUAAUAUAAGAAUUAAUGAAUACCAAAAAUCUAAGAAUUGACUAUUUUAAUGCGAUCUAAUUAGCACUACCCUUAUUUUGUGUAUAUAAAUAAACAAAUCUUUCACUCACAAAAACAUAUUCUUAAGUUAAAAGAAAAAGAAAAAACAUAUAUUAGUACUAUUCCAAAAUUUCUCUUCACUUUAUUUUUUGAGUCAAAAACUCAUAAUUUGUUUUCCUAAAAAAUGAACACCAAGAAAACAAAAGGAAAGCAAAAGAUUAAUAUAAAGAAAAUAGAAAUAAGCAAAGACAUAUUGGUCACAUUGUCUAAUCGUAGAAAUGGUAUCUACACUAAGUUAUGUGAACUCUCUUUUCUCUGCGGCGUUCACAUUGCAUUUUUGGGGUAUACCGACUACGGAAAGCCAUUUACAUUUGGCAGUCCAUCCUUACAGGCAGUUGCGGAACGGUUUCUCAACAGCGAGGCCUCGUCGUCUUCUUCUUUGCAACAAUCACUCUUUACUGUUCAUCACAAACAGAAUGUUCAAGAGCUAUGCACAUUGUACAACAAUGUUGUUGAGCAGACACGUGCUAAGGAAGUGAAAGCAAUGAAGGCAGCUGCGUCUAUGGAGCCGUUUCCAGAAGAUGCGUGGUGGAAAAUGCAUAUGACUAAGGAACAAGAUCAAGAAGAAGCAAAAAAGUUGUUGGACAAGUUUGAAGGGCUCUAUGAGAAGUUGUGUGAUGAAAUUGAUGUAAGAAGUCAAAGAAGAGAUGCCGCGAGAAAUGACAUAUGAUUUAUACGUCCUUAAUAUAUCAUUUGUUGUGUUGUUGUGAUGAUGUGUUGUUGUAUUGUCUUUUCUUUUUAUUUUAUGCAUUGUUAAUGUUUUCUAAAUCAUCCAAUCCAAUAAAACAAAAAUAAUAUUUCAUUUUAAAUGUUAUUUGAGAAACAUACUGAAAAACAUAAAUAAAUCAAACUUAGAAUAAAAUAAGGGUUUCCUAUCUCAAAAAAGUUCAUGCUUUUGCAAAUGUAAUUUUGUUGUCUACUAAUCAUUUACCUUUUCUUGUAUAUGAUACAUAUAUCAAAAUCUAGUUAUCAUGAAUUUUAGAAUUUAGGAGGCUCAGUGUCUAUCAAAAUAUUUUUUUAUGGACCAAAUUAAACAACAUAUAUUUUGACAUUUUCAUCUUAUUGCUUGUGUAUCAGUAGCUCAAAACAUAAUUAUACAUUGUCCGCUAUAUUUCGCACUUGUAAUUUUGUUGUCCAUGUCCUAAAUCUCUAACAAAAGUUAAAACGACAGCCUAUUCUAUUUUUUAAUUCGUUAACUAAUAAUCUCAUAUUUAUUAACUAGCUAUUAUCAAGUAUACUAACAGCAACAACCAAAAAUAAAUUAACUAAACCAUCAAUCAAACCACUUUUAGAUAUAAACCAAAUAACCAUUAAACCAAUAAUUUUACAAGCAAUACAAAUACCAUCAUUUUUAACAUGCUUCUAAUCCAACUUCCAAAAGAAAAAAAAACAUUAAAAACACCAAUUCGAUCAUAGAUCAACCUCAUCUUCAUGCCACGAUUCCACGAUUACGCUUUUUUCGCCUGCACUAUAACAUAAAG